rnacentral:rRNA from 1 species
UACGUAGGGUGCAAGCGUUGUCCGGAAUUAUUGGGCGUAAAGAGCUCGUAGGCGGUCUGUCGCGUCGGCUGUGAAAACCCGAGGCUCAACCUCGGGCCUGCAGUCGAUACGGGCAGACUAGAGUGUGGUAGGGGAGACUGGAAUUCCUGGUGUAGCGGUGAAAUGCGCAGAUAUCAGGAGGAACACCGAUGGCGAAGGCAGGUCUCUGGGCCACUACUGACGCUGAGAAGCGAAAGCAUGGGGAGCGAACAGG